UCUGUUUUUCCCCUCCAUUUUGCAUGUCACGAGAUGAGUAACUGAGACUCUUAUCCACUAACUUCAGUUCCCUUUUGGGGCCUCAACACGAUUCCAGAGAUCUACUGAUGGCUCCACUGGGGAGCCCCCUCCAGCGAGCUGCCCCCCCCCCCCAAGAUCUACCUAUUAAGAAAAAGCCCAGGCAGAUCACAGUGAGUUGGCUGGUCAGCCUGCUACUUGCCAUUUGCCAUGUAUGCAGUAGGUGGUGAGCUUGUCGAGACAAGCUUAGAGAAUUGUUACAGAGUAAGACUAUGUGAGGCCCUAAGUUUUUGCUUCUUCAUUCAAAUUACAAAAAGGAUCUCAAGAGAACUUUGCAUUGAAUAGAUGAUGCUACUCCACUGCUCUUGCAAUUAGGGAGGGUAGACCUGAAGCUUUCUUCUUUGUACACACUGACACAAGACUGCUGCUGCAUUGAUUCUUGAGCAAGGCGAACAAUGGAAGAAAGCCACUUUUUGUUGUUAAAGUGAGGUAGCAUUUCUGCUGUAGUUAGAAAGAGCAUUGUCUCUCCAGUGUCCCAAAUCACUUCCAUUAAACAGUCAAUGUGAUAA
rnacentral:lncRNA from 1 species